rnacentral:rRNA from 1 species
CCUACGGGCGGCAGCAGUGAGGAAUAUUGGUCAAUGGGCGUAAGCCUGAACCAGCCAAGCCGCGUGAGGGAUGAAGGUUCUCUGGAUCGUAAACCUCUUUUAUAAGGGAAUAAAGUGCGGGACGUGUCCCGUUUUGUAUGUACCUUAUGAAAAAGCAUCGGCUAACUCCGUGCCAGCAGCCGCGGUAAUACGGAGGAUGCGGGCGUUAUCCGGAUUUAUUGGGUUUAAGGGGUGCGUAGGCGGGACCUUAAGUCAGCGGUAAAAUUGCGGUGCUCAACGCCGGAGAGCCGUUGAAACUGGGGCUCUUGAGUGAGCGAGAAGUAUGCGGAAUGCGUGGUGUAGCGGUGAAAUGCAUAGAUAUCACGCAGAACCCCGAUUGCGAAGGCAGCAUACCGGCGCUCAACUGACGCUGAGGCACGAAAGUGCGGGUAUCGAACAGGAUUAGAUACCCCUGUAGUC